rnacentral:lncRNA from 1 species
UGCCUCUCAAUUGUAUUUGUGGUUAAACUUGACUUUACAUUCAGUAGAGUUCAUUAAAAGAUUGGGUUUGGGCGUUGCUUCUUGUGUUGUAGUCUCAGUUGUCUUUUCAUAUGAGAAAUCUAAACAUUUUACUCUUAGGGUUAAUGAAUUCAUCCAAAGCUGUCAUAAUUAUCACCUCCAGUUGGAGUUCUGAUCUCGGGUUUGGUUUGUUUCUAUAUAUAUCAAAAUGAAAGAACAUUUGUUUAGGAAGGACUUGUAGAUUGUUUUUUCUCAAUAGUUUUAGAAGUCAUGUUUCUUUUCUUUCAUAGUCUUUUUCUGUAUGUGCUUUCCUUCUGUUUUCUGCUUAGCAGUCUUCCUGUAGCCACGUGGCAUUCUUAGUAAGGAUGGUAGGUAAGUGCCUAGCAGAACUCUGUAUCUGCUUUUUCCUUCCUGUGAUCCACUGAUUCCAGUGUCUGCGUGAGCUUCACCCGUGGCUGCAGGUCAGCACUUAUUCUCUUGACCCUGUGGGUUAGUACAAUUUUGAUACAAAAGGCUUAUUUGAAAGGCUUAUUUUUAAAAAAAUCUAUUGUUGUGAUACUCAUUGGUUGAGAUUCUCCUAAACAUGGUGUAAUUUGAUGUAUAGAUUUUAGGAGGAAGUGUUUCAGCAACCAAAUUAUGGUGAUGGGAGGAUUCAGUUGAUGGGUUAUAGCUGAAGACUAAUGUUACAUAGUUCACUGUUAGAGAGUUAAGCCUCCUCCAGUGCUGUGGCAGCAGACCUCAGCUCACUGACACUUGUGUAAAUGACUACUGUCAAGUUAAUGCCUGCUGUUGUUGAGCCAUAGUCCUAAUACAUUCAAGUUGAACAAUUUUUUCUCUAUAUAUUUCUCUAGUAAGGGAUGGAAAAAUUUUUAUCUAGGGAGGAAUGUAUCUUUAUGUUUACCCACACAGCCCUCUUUUUAACUUAGAUUAAGUCUGUAGUACUUAUUCAGUUUUUGAAAAGUCAAUUCUGAAAAUAGAGAAAUUGGUAACCAUUUAAUGUUUAAAUGUUUUACACAAAUUAUACGUUAAUAUAAAAUGUUAAUAUUUGCUGCUGUUUUUAAUGCUUAGCACUUAUUUUUAAAAUUUCUUGUUUUAAUUCACAUUUGAAAUGUGUAUUAUUAAAUUGUACAAGUUGAGUUUUUUAGUCAUGCUUAAUUUUCAGAUAGCAUUCCCUAAAGUAGGUAAACAUGGUCUUAUUUUGCCUGCUUAUUAUCUUAGCUGUAUUAGCUGUAAGUGUUGUGGAAAUUACAUGUUUUCCUUCUUUGAUGCUCUAAAUUAAUUUUCAAAAAUUAAAAAAAUACAGGAAGCAAUUUCUUAAGUUUGUUUUAUAAAUAACAUGAAAUUAAGUAAGUUUUAUAAGGAAAAUGUUUAUACACUGGAGAGUUGAGUAUUUGACUUUGUUUUUUCUAAAAUAAAUUAAUGAACUG